rnacentral:rRNA from 1 species
GAUGAACGCUGGCGGCGUGCCUAAUACAUGCGAGUCGAGCGAACGGACGAGAAGCUUGCUUCUCUGAUGUUAGCGGCGGACGGGUGAGUAACACGUGGAUAACCUACCUAUAAGACUGGGAUAACUUCGGGAAACCGGAGCUAAUACCGGAUGAUAUUUUGAACCGCAUGGUUCAAAAGUGAAAGACGGUCUUGCUGUCACUUAUAGAUGGAUCCGCGCUGCAUUAGCUAGUUGGUAAGGUAACGGCUUACCAAGGCAACGAUGCAUAGCCGACCUGAGAGGGUGAUCGGCCACACUGGAACUGAGACACGGUCCAGACUCCUACGGGAGGCAGCAGUAGGGAAUCUUCCGCAAUGGGCGAAAGCCUGACGGAGCAACGCCGCGUGAGUGAUGAAGGUCUUCGGAUCGUAAAACUCUGUUACUAGGGAAGAACAUAUGUGUAAGUAACUGUGCACAUCUUGACGGUACCUAAUCAGAAAGCCACGGCUAACUACGUG